rnacentral:rRNA from 1 species
AACGAACGCUGGCGGCAUGCCUAACACAUGCAAGUCGAACGAGACCUUCGGGUCUAGUGGCGCACGGGUGCGUAACGCGUGGGAACUUGCCCUUAGGUUCGGAAUAACUCCCCGAAAGGGGUGCUAAUACCGGAUAAUGUCUUCGGACCAAAGAUUUAUCGCCUUUGGAUGGGCCCGCGUUGGAUUAGCUAGUUGGUAGGGUAAAAGCCUACCAAGGCGACGAUCCAUAGCUGGUCUGAGAGGAUGAUCAGCCACACUGGGACUGAGACACGGCCCAGACUCCUACGGGAGGCAGCAGUGGGGAAUAUUGGACAAUGGGCGAAAGCCUGAUCCAGCAAUGCCGCGUGAGUGAUGAAGGCCUUAGGGUUGUAAAGCUCUUUUACCCGGGAUGAUAAUGACAGUGCCGGGAGAAUAAGCUCCGGCUAACUCCGUG